UACGUAGGGGGCAAGCGUUGUCCGGAUUUAUUGGGCGUAAAGAGCGUGUAGGCGGCCUGGUAGGUCAGCUGUGAAAACUCGAGGCUCAACCUCGAGACGUCGGUUGAAACCACCUGGCUAGAGUCCGGAAGAGGAGAGUGGAAUUCCCGGUGUAGCGGUGAAAUGCGCAGAUAUCGGGAAGAACACCCGUGGCGAAGGCGGCUCUCUGGGACGGUACUGACGCUGAGACGCGAAAGCGUGGGGGAGCGAACAGG
rnacentral:rRNA from 1 species